rnacentral:rRNA from 1 species
GAUGAACGCUGGCGGCGUGCCUAAUACAUGCAAGUCGAGCGAACAGACGAGGAGCUUGCUCCUCUGACGCUAGCGGCGGACGGGUGAGUAACACGUGGAUAACCUACCUAUAAGACUGGGAUAACUUCGGGAAACCGGAGCUAAUACCGGAUAAUAUAUUGAACCGCAUGGUUCAAUAGUGAAAGACGGUUUUGCUGUCACUUAUAGAUGGACCCGCGCCGCAUUAGCUAGUUGGUAAGGUAACGGCUUACCAAGGCAACGAUGCGUAGCCGACCUGAGAGGGUGAUCGGCCACACUGGAACUGAGACACGGUCCAGACUCCUACGGGAGGCAGCAGUAGGGAAUCUUCCGCAAUGGGCGAAAGCCUGACGGAGCAACGCCGCGUGAGUGAUGAAGGUCUUCGGAUCGUAAAACUCUGUUAUUAGGGAAGAACAAAUGUGUAAGUAACUAUGCACGUCUUGACGGUACCUAAUCAGAAAGCCACGGCUAACUACGUG